GAUGAACGCUGGCGGCGUGCCUAAUACAUGCAAGUCGAGCGAACUGAUUAGAAGCUUGCUUCUAUGACGUUAGCGGCGGACGGGUGAGUAACACGUGGGCAACCUGCCUGUAAGACUGGGAUAACUUCGGGAAACCGAAGCUAAUACCGGAUAGGAUCUUCUCCUUCAUGGGAGAUGAUUGAAAGAUGGUUUCGGCUAUCACUUACAGAUGGGCCCGCGGUGCAUUAGCUAGUUGGGGAGGUAACUGCUCACCAAGGCAACGAUGCAUAGCCGACCUGAGAGGGUGAUCGGCCACACUGGGACUGAGACACGGCCCAGACUCCUACGGGAGGCAGCAGUAGGGAAUCUUCCGCAAUGGACGAAAGUCUGACGGAGCAACGCCGCGUGAGUGAUGAAGGCUUUCGGGUCGUAAAACUCUGUUGUUAGGGAAGAACAAGUACGAGAGUAACUGCUCGUACCUUGACGGUACCUAACCAGAAAGCCACGGCUAACUACGUGCCAGCCGCCGCAGUAA
rnacentral:rRNA from 1 species